CCAACGGCUCUUUUCAGAGCCACCCAUUUCCUCACCAAAGAGCUG
rfam:Patagioenas fasciata monilis isolate BTP2013 Sc31e1R_884, whole genome shotgun sequence.